rnacentral:rRNA from 1 species
GAUGAACGCUGGCGGCGUGCCUAAUACAUGCAAGUCGAGCGAAUGGAUUAAGAGCUUGCUCUUAUGAAGUUAGCGGCGGACGGGUGAGUAACACGUGGGUAACCUGCCCAUAAGACUGGGAUAACUCCGGGAAACCGGGGCUAAUACCGGAUAACAUUUUGAACCGCAUGGUUCGAAAUUGAAAGGCGGCUUCGGCUGUCACUUAUGGAUGGACCCGCGUCGCAUUAGCUAGUUGGUGAGGUAACGGCUCACCAAGGCAACGAUGCGUAGCCGACCUGAGAGGGUGCUCGGCCACACUGGGACUGAGACACUGCCCAGACUCCUAUGGGAGGCAGCAGUAGGGAAUCUUCCGCAAUGGACGAAAGUCUGACGGAGCAACGCCGCGUGAGUGAUGAAGGCUUUCGGGUCGUAAAACUCUGUUGUUAGGGAAGAACAAGUGCUAGUUGAAUAAGCUGGCACCUUGACGGUACCUAACCAGAAAGCCACGGCUAACUACGUGCCAGCCGCCGCGGUAA